rnacentral:rRNA from 1 species
GAUGAACGCUGGCGGCGUGCUUAACACAUGCAAGUCGAGCGAGAAGUUUUGAAAAGAUUCUUCGGAUGAAAUUUAAAAUGGAAAGCGGCGGACGGGUGAGUAACGCGUAGGCAACCUGCCCCAUACAAAGGGAUAGCAUUUGGAAACGAAUAUUAAUACCUUAUGAAACUUAACUAGUGCAUGCUAGGUAGGUCAAAGAUUUAUCGGUAUGGGAUGGGCCUGCGUCUGAUUAGCUAGUUGGUGAGGUAACGGCUCACCAAGGCGACGAUCGGUAGCCGACCUGAGAGGGUGAACGGCCACAUUGGAACUGAGACACGGUCCAAACUCCUACAGGAGGCAGCAGUGGGGAAUAUUGCACAAUGGGGGAAACCCUGAUGCAGCAACGCCGCGUGAACGAUGAAGGCCUUUGGGGCGUAAAGUUCUGUUCUAGGUGAUGAAAACUGACAGUAACCUAGGAGAAAGCCCCGGCUAACUCCGUG